UACGUAGGGUGCGAGCGUUGUCCGGAAUUAUUGGGCGUAAAGAGCUCGUAGGCGGUUUGUUGCGUCGGCUGUGAAAACCCGAGGUUCAACCUCGGGCCUGCAGCCGAUACGGGCAGACUAGAGUUCGGCAGGGGAGACUGGAAUUCCUGGUGUAGCGGUGAAAUGCGCAGAUAUCAGGAGGAACACCGGUGGCGAAGGCGGGUCUCUGGGCCGAUACUGACGCUGAGGAGCGAAAGCGUGGGGAGCGAACAGG
rnacentral:rRNA from 1 species